rnacentral:lncRNA from 1 species
CUGCUUCCAAACUGGAAAAAUAUCCUGAAUUCAUACUCAGCCAAGAUAAGAGUUGGAAACACAAAUGCUCUUAUAAGGAGAGGAGAAUAAUAGUUAGGUUGUGUGUUUCUAUUAGAAUAUAAUCUGGAAGCAAAUUGCAUCUUUUUUUCUUACGGAACUAAGAAUUUACACUAAAGCCAUCUGGUUAUCUUUUUAUUUUUUUCCUUAAUUGUUUCUAGAGUCUCCACAUCCUUGAAGCCAAGGGGUGAAGAAUCAUAUUAUCAGCAGAGAAUUUCAUUAACCUCAUGGCAGGUAACACAGUCCUUACAUUUCAAUCAGGGAAUUUGCCACAGAAACUGUGCUUGGGGAUAGAUCAGGGAGAAAGAAGAGCCAGUAAGAGCCAGAACAUUCUAACAAACAUCAUCCAAGGUCUUUGCAUGAUAUACUGGAGCCUCCCAUGUCAUCACCGAGCAUCAUUUUCCACCUCCUGUCUGUACAUUUUACCUGGACUAUUCCUAUUAACCUUUCAGAAGCCGUCUUGGCCCACUGCCAAUCUGGAGUGAGUACACUUCUGUGCUGUUUUCAAGCAUUUUUUAUCAUUUAUACACCAUGGACAUUACUCAGUGCCAAGGAUGGAUAAAUGGAUAGAUAGAUGGAUGGAUAGAUAGAUGACAGAUAGAUAGAUAGAUAGAUAGAUAGAUAGAUAGACAGACAGACAGACAAUGAAUGAAUCAAGGGCAGAUCUGUCUUUUGAUCCAGACACACAGGGAAGUUUUGC